UUUAACCCACUGAGCAAGGCCAGGGAUUGAACCCACAACCUCAUGGUUCCUAGUCGGAUUCGUUAACCACUGAGCCAUGAUGGGAACUCCAUACCCAUUUUAAAACUUCUAUACAACAGCAGUAACAAUGUCAUGCUUCUGUCUAGCAAGUUAUAACUUCCUUUCGUGAAAAUAUACUGUCACCUUCUUCCCCCAAUAUGGAGACUCAAAUCUCUAACGUUCUUCAUGUCCAUCUUCAAGUGAUGUUAAUUUUCUUUCUUUUUCAUUAAAGACUAUUAUAUUAUAAAUUUAAUUGUCACCAACACUGUUGUAUAUAAAAUAAUAGGGAAUUAAGAGAAAGAAAAGGAAUGAAAACAAAUGAAGAAGAAACUAUUUAUAUCUGCUACUUUAUUUCUGGAACUGCUCACAAAGCCACAGAUGAUAUUAAAAAUUCCUUUUUUCUACCACUCAUUCUAUGUUCCCUUUGCCUUCAGUCAGCUGGUCAGUGUUUUUUACUUGGUGAGGUAACCCAAACCUUCAUUCUUGAAGAGUCUGAAUUCUUUUUCAGUUCUGUCUUUGGGGACAUAAUGAAUGACUAAGAGAUGCCUUGGAGAGUCCUCUUGGUUCCAGGCUUGGGUCCCUGCCAGCAUUGUGUAGCAACUAGUGCAGGUCAAUAGAAUUGAUUACCCCAGCCAAAUACAGUAACUCCUUCCUUUGUCUGUUGGUUCAGUGAUGUGAGGAACCCAGAUUGCUUGGUGGCAAUAUCAACUUCCAACUUAAUAGAAAAACUGCCAUUCUUCCUGUGGGAACUAAGCUCUCUAACAAGUGCCCAUUACACUGAGUUGUGAGAAUAGGAAGCAAAAAUUCUGUAGGUGGAUUAUUAAAGGUAACAGAGGAAAUAUUGUCAUUUUCAUCUCUUUAUUUCCAGAUCCAUGGAUUGUGGCUAUAGAAGAAAAAAGCACCAUAUAUUGGUCCUUGGUUCAAACCAUAUAUUUCAUCCUCCACAAGUUGUUAUUUCUACUAGAACCAUAACUGAAUCUUUAGGAGGCCAGGCCACCUUUCUCACAGGCCAGUUGCUUCUAGGGAUGGGUGACAAGACCAUUGAGUACCAUGGACAUGAAUCCGUUGCUAUACUUUUUGACUGUGAAAUGAAUUGAUUAGUUUGAAGCUAUUUGUAUGGAAUGCUAUAAAGUUGAAUAAGGCAAUCCACCAGUCCACAGAUGAUGUGUUCAAGAGGUAUUGCAAGCAGAGAGGACAGAUCAGUAUCCAAAAUUAGUGCUUAUUCCGACAAAGAUGAUUUCGGCCCCUUCAUUAUGGAAAGGGUCCAGUGUGACUGAUGGCUGAAUUGGCCCCCUUCCCCACCAACUGGUGCCAUUCCACUAAUGUCAGCUUGAGCACCUGGUAGUGCUUACCAGAUCACUGGUAGCCAGAUAAUGGUUGGUAACGGAAAUCCAUAUUGUUGGGCCUAUAAGCCACCUCUAUUCCUCAUGUUCUGUCUUGUGUACACGAACCUAUUGAUGAAGUACCUGAGUAUUUGGAGAAAGAAACUGACAGAUAGCCAAUGCAUAGGCUUUCUUUUGUACCUGAUUAUUGAGAGCUCUGUCUAUAGCAUACGCCUUCAUGAGCAUUUAUGUAACACUCAAAUUCCUAUAAAUAUCCUCAUGCUCUGUGCCAGUUUAAGAGGUCUAUCUACAUACUACUUUGCAGACAGUCUUUCAAUCCUUUAUUUCCAUGUCCCUGAUGAUCCAGCCAAACCAUUUGUCAUUACCCAUGAUUAGAAGCAAGGUAGGUCUAUCCGUAUCUUGGGCCAUCUCUCAGUCCAGUCAAAAUGGAUAUUAUGAUAUACUGCUUAAAGUUUUUCUCACUGAGAGGAUUUCUCUUCCCCAGUGUUUUUGUUUUGUUUUUAAAGCACAUCCCCAAAUGUGGCUAUAGUGCUAUAUUCCUAGUUUGCCAGUAUAAUGAGCAAAACCAUCUGUAAACCAGACCCUCCCUCAGUCAUUUGUUCACAGGCAGAUCUCCAUUAAAAACCUCACGUUGGAUGAGGGAAGGAUGGCAGUCUAGCAGAAGAAUGCCAUAAAGUCCUGAGCCAUCAGCACAUGUAACUUUAUUAUUCCUUUGGGAUCUGUGUGAACCUGAUUUUACACAUACCACUUCCACUGGGCGAUGAAGUGUUGCUGUUUCUGCUUAAUUUUGUGACCUAAUGAAUCAGAUAACACCCUGUCAGUUAUGGGCAGCCCAAGUCGUGGGGCCAGGGGUUCAUUCUCUAUAAGGUCCAAUAGCAAGGCAGGAACAGUUUCUCAAAGGAAGAUGACAGCUCUUUACUUCACAUCCUCAGGGCGUGCACCAUGGUCAUCUGUUUUGGGUUUGCAAUGGGCUCCGUAUAGGAUCCCUACUUACCACAGAAACAUUAGUUGCUAUUGGAUCUGCUGGGUCAUAGGGCCCAUGUAGCAGUAUAACUUGUGCUGGAGUAGUUUAUAGUCUACAUCCUGACUAGUUGUAGAGCCUUCUUUUACUUGAUCACCAUUCAAAUCUGGCUGCAUUAUGAGUUAUAUAUUGAAUUGGUCAGAGCAACACACUCAAAUGUGCCAUAUGUUUCCUCAAAAAUGCAGAGGCCCAUCAAAUGGUGAAAAUUGUUGUUGGUUAUAGUUGGUGCAACAAUUUUUCUUUCACUUUGGAGGGAAUUCCCAGUAUCACCCAGAAUUUUGAAUCCCUAGAAACCUCAUCCAUGUAGCUAGCUCCUAGAUUUUAUGGGUUGUUUCUUCUACUGUGUGAUAAAUGUGUGUCUUAGACAUCUAAUGUAAUACAUGCUUCUAUUAUUCAUCAGUUUCAAAGAUCAUGACAUCCUCUUUGCAUUGAGCCAGUUUUAUCUCUUGUGGGAUCAAGGUCCCUUUAGACUAGAUUAUGUCCAGAGACGUGAUAUUGCCUUGGGAUGGUGAAGGUGUCUCUGGUAGUCCUUUAAUUUUUAAACUGAUAUAAAGUAAAAUGGAAAUAUAGGGCCAUCCUGUAGAAGAUUGGACUUGGGCAUGGGAGGUAAUGCAAAAAUAAUUGGGAUAAAGUUCUUCACUAUUAAUAAAAUGUGGGAAUAUGUGGUAGGCAGUGUAGUAAUUGGGGGCAGGCAUGGAAAAACUUGAAAAAAUUUAUCAAGAUAUUUUUACUGGUUUUUAAUUUAGAAAGGUACAUUAUAUAACUUUUGUGCCAUUCUUUGCUCAUUAUAAAACACUGUUAUGUCUCUUGAAGAUUAUUUAGAGGAUAUGUGAAAUAAUAAUGAAAAAACAGGCUCUAUAAAUAAUACAAAGUCAUUGAUGUUUACUUUAGUUCUCAUAAUGGACUUGUACAUAAAAUAGUCAGGCUAGGAGUUCCCUGGUGGCCUCAGCGGUUAAGGAUAUGGCAUUGUCACUGCUAUGACUCUGGUCUCUACUGUGGCAUGGGUUCUAACCCUGGCCUGAGAACUUCCACAUGCCACGGGUGUGGCCAAAAAAAAAAAAAAAAAAGUCAGACUAAAACUUAUUCCUAUUGUGUAGAUAAGGAAAGUGACUUUCUGGUUUUAGGUAGUUUGUCUGAAUUCGCACAGCUGAUCAGUAGUAGAGUUUCAGAUCAAAACCAGCUAUAUAGAUGGAUAUGUUGAUAUAGGUGCUAUUUUUAGGAUAUGUGUGUAUGUUUGCAUAAUUUAAAUAUUAAUUUACAUAUUCUUUAUCUUCUCUUUUCAUCCUCCCCAAACCCUAUCCCAGAGGGGUUAGAAGCAGAGAGAAGGAGACACUCUUUAAGACUGAAGUAGAAUGGUGGUCUUCAGUUUGUUUUUCAUAUAGCAGAGAUGCGUGCCUAGCUCCCUUGAAGCAUCCUGGGGAAGAACUUGGAGAAAAAUGAGUCUUUGGUUCAUCUAGAGAGAAUGGACAUUAGACUCAGGGGCUUUCAGCCCUGGAAAAGGAUUCCAUGCUGAGCUCAGCAGGAAUCAGCAGAGCUGUCUAUACUUAAGGGAGUGUGAGAGCUUCGGACAGUGAGCACAUGGAUGGGGAUCAGUGUGGAUUGAAGACAGGAGGGCUUCAGCCAAAUGACACAACCUGGGUAAGUUCCUAGGGGCUUUCUUACAAUGCUGAGAGGCCCAGUGAGGACUUAUCCUCAAAUCUUUUUUAAUUUUGGAAUCAAAUGAAAUAUUAUGACAUUUCGCAUAAACCUUUUUUUAUGGACUAAAAGUCAUACCUCCUACUUAUAUAUUUGUUUUGGGAGUAAAGAAGGCAAAAACAGGGUGGUAGUAAUGAUAGAGCUGUGACUCUGGGUAUUAGAGAGCUUGAAAAUUUGCUUCAUAUCACCAAGGAAAAGGAAUGGCCUAAUAUCACUAUCAACCCAAAGUGUUUUCAGUUUAUUAUUGGUAUGUGCCAGUGGCUGAUUUACUUGGCUCUUUGGAAGAGAGUGGUAAUGAGACCAACGUCAGGGUUCUCAUUUCCAUACAGGCAAAUAUACUUGGUGAAAGAGAGCUUUAGCUUCGGUCACCACAGAUUAAAUUCCUAACCUGCACCAGCUGCCUUAGAUACGCUGUGGGGUUAUGAGAGGUCAGGUAAGAGGGUGUGGAUGAGUCAGCAGAAAACCUCACCACCUCUGAGGGUGUGAGUUCACAACAGAGGUCCUGUAGAUAUCCCUGAGAUUUUGUGUGCAUGCUUAUGAAGGAGAAAACAUACUGCUGCCCUUGAGCUAAUUCACAGAAAAUGAGUAGAUCAAACCAAGUCCCUCUAGUGCCUGAACAGAAUCUGAGAGGGCAAAAGGCUCUGUCAUUAGUUGAGUUAGUGCCAUAUCUGAGCUAUGCUUAACAUUUCACUCUUAAUAAACAGAUAUUAUGGUGUAAUUUACAAAAAUAAUAGAUUUUAAGAAGAAUUUUAAAAAUUCUGCAAAAUGAAGAUGAGGAUUUUAGGGUUACAUUUUAAAUAAAAAUUCUGAAAAAGAAACCAUAAUUAGAAAAUAUUUAUAUAGGUCUUUUUAUUGUGUAAUUUAUAUAUAACACACCAGUCUUAAGGGUGUAGUGCAAUGAAUUGUAUAUAUCCAUGUAAUCACCACUCAAAAUAAGAUACAGAACAUUUCCAUCAUCCCGGAAAGUUCCUUUCUGUUCUUUAUCAGUCAGUUUCUUAUCUGCUCUCCCAGUGACUGCUGUUCUGUCAAUAUAAAUUAUUUUUGCCUUUUCUCGAACUUCACGUAGAUGUAAUCAGUCAAUAUGUACUUUUAUGUGUCUGGCAUUUUUCACUCAACUUAAGUUUUUUUGAGGUUUAUGCAUGUUGUUACAUUGUAUCUGAAGUUUAUUCCUUUUUAUUUUGGUAUAAAGUUACUACAAUUUGUCCAUAGUCCUGUUGAUGAAUAUUUAAGUUGUUUCUUGUUUUCAUCUAUUAGGACUAAGACUGGUAGAAACAUCUUCCCAAGAUUCUUAAAAUUCAUGUUUAAGUACCCAUUUUUCAUAUGCAAUCUCUGAGAGCAGAAAAAGUUCUUUAUAGUAAAUCCUACAAACUUUUUUUUAAUUACUCAAAUGAAUUUAUCACAUCUGUAGUUGUAUAAUGAUCAUAACAAUCUGAUUUCACAGGAUUUCCAUCAGUUCCUUCACUUUGCUUUGAUUUUCUUGAAUUGUUAUCAAGAUCCAAGAGUUUUAAAAAGCUGUUUUCUCAGGUGACUGUUAAGUUAUAGGCACAGUACUGAGAAGGACAAAACAAAGAGAGUAGGUUUCCUGCACCCAGGUUUGUAUCAACUUCAGCUUCUCUGGAGGUACCUAGUUAAGUCAGACCCAUAUGUUUUUCCAUUCUGCUUUCCAAAGCCUCUCCUGUUUGCCAAUAUGAAUUCAUUCAGUUUGUUUGUUUAUUCAACAAUAAUUUGUCAGGCUUUUUCAAUAUAUUUGUUGGGCUUGUGCUAGGCUCUACAUUCAUGAUGGCAAGGGUUAUGUUUGGAUAAGAACCCAAACAAUAAUGUUUGCUGUGCCUAGCUCAAUGCCUAGCACAUGAUGGAAACUAAAUGGGUAUUUUUGAAUGAAGGAAGGAGCUUUCAGUUUAGUGUGGAGAUUGUCCUGAAUACAAAUAACUGGUGUGUCGGAAGUAUGGAGAAGGUAUUGUGGAAGUAUCAAGAUUAUAAAUACGUGUUCUUGUUUUUACCUGAGCCAACACUUUCUUUGUUGGACUGUAAUUUGUCUAUUUAUGGCUUUCUCCCCCAUUUCAUAGUAGAACAGAGACUGUUUCCUAUUAGUCUUUGUAUCUCUAGCAAUCAAUCCAUGGCCUGGCACUCAGAAGGGAUUGACUAAUUCUAUCUAGGUUUGCCAAAAAAAUUAAUCGGGAGAGGGGCCAUUUGGGAUGGGCCUUGGAGAGGAGAUCCUGGUGAUAGAGGGUGGUGGGGGAUGGUAUUCCAGAAAACAAGAAACUGUGCUCCUUUGGGUCCUAAUUGUUUUCUCUCUUAAAGAAUGUUCCCAUUUAAUUUCCUGAAUCACCAUCAUGAUUUUGAAUCCCUUUUAGCAAUUCAGUUUUUAAUUAACUUUUUAAAAGCAUUUACUACAUACAUAGCAAAAUGGUCCUGAGCCAAGAUUUUUUUCUCACAUAAGAUUAUGUUCUUGUCAUUUCUUUAAACAGUUAUUCUGUUGAAUGCCUUGAAUACAAAAAGAAUAUGACAAAAACAAAAUAGUUGCCUAACAUUUCAAUAGAAGUUCUUAUCCUGAAUAGAAUGAAUAAAGGGAAUUAUUAUUAUGAUUUUUAGGCAUUCCAGGUAGAAUGAUCUGUUUUUCAAGUAAUUAAAAAAAUUAAAGGGUUUCUUUUUCAUAAUUGAUAAUCAAAUCCAGCUAACCUAAUUUAUUGUUGAAGAGGAUGCAUUCCAUUGGUUUAAAGAGAAUAUUAACAAAGAAAUUAGAAUCUUUUUAUUUCAUUGACUAUGCAAGUGGAAACUGUGCAUAAGGAUUCAGGAAGAGUGUUUCAGCAUUACUUUUUUUUCCCUUCACACUUACAGGCUUUGAGUAAAUUGCAGAGGAAACUCCUCUGAUUGAAUGUUGGAGGUCAUCUUUUGGUACGCAUGGCACAAAAUGAUUCUAGGCAUUAUGAAUUCUAAGAUGUAAAUUACAGGAGCUUUGAAGACAGGAGUGAUUCUCCUAGGCAAUGCAUUGCAUAGUGGAGCAGAGUGGAAAUGUCAUCAUUUAUGUUUUAUUUCAGAGAAGAUCAUCUCCACAAUUCUUUCUUUUCCUACUUUAGCAGAUUUUGACAUAAAAGAAAUUUUACAUUCUUUUUAGAUAUAAUGUGGAAGUCUGAUAUUUCAAAAUUUAGAAUAAAACUUUCUGUGCUUUUAAUAAGAUCUUAAAGCAUUUAAGAAGCAUUAAUUAAGCUUUACAAACCAACUGUAAGAUGAUUUGAUCAAUUCAAAAGUAGUCAUAAAGUCUGUACUCAACUUUCAAUUACUGUAUGUCUCAGUGGAGAAAAAGCACAGCUAAUCCAAAUUACAGAUAAUACCCAAAACAUUUCUAUUCAAUGAACAAUGACAUACAUAUUUUUAAAAAUAUAUAUAGUUAGUCCAAAAUCCUUUAUAUUUGAUCUUAGCAUGCAUUAUGAUUUGUGUGUGUGUGCGCGAAACCAUAUGAAAACAUACAAUCAUGAUGAUGCUUUAAUUAAAUGAAGCCUACAGUGAAUUUGGUCUCUUUGUAUAUAUGCUGAUUACGGGAAGGGAGAAAUAUCUUUGUGUCAGGUUACUUGUCAGAAAUGGUCCAGAGAUGUGAGUUUUUGCCUGUCUGUAAUCUGCAGAAUGAAAUCAUCUAUGUAAGUUUGCAUUUUGAGACAGGAGAGUUCUCCUCCUGGACCAACUUAUUUGAUAGCUAAAAAAAUGAGGCCUACUAUAGUGACAAAUGACUUGUUAGCUAUGGUUAAUAAUGUUAUUAUUUAUAAUAGAGAGGAAGGAGAGAAGGAAGCAAAUUUUUCACAAUUAAAGAAUGUUUGAGUAAAUUCUGGCUUAUCAACCUCAUGUCAUUCCACUGACUAAAAAAUUAUAACUACAUGGCAAUAGUCUCAACUGAGACGUGGCUUCUUCUAGGCCAGGACUCUCCAUUUGCCAUAUCUGGUUGGCUGCUGCUUCUGCAUUCUACUCGUGAGCAUAUUUAUAUGCUUCAUUGUAUUUCCUCUGAGAAAUCCUAUGCUCUUUGACAGCUGGGACCAUGGCAUUAUUAUUUAUUAUUUAAUUUCCAGAUCUUAGCCAAUCAGGCCCAUGAUUACCACUCACUAAAUACUAAUUUCAGUCAAAUAGAAUAUUAUUAGUACAAAAAAGGAAAAUCAGUAAAAAAUACUCACAGCUACGAGCGCAGUCAGCUGUUCUUAGGUGUUCUCCCUUUCUAUACCCACCCCCUUCCACAUUUAGCCCUGACUCUUUCCUAGCUGCAUUAGUUGUUUGUUGUCCAAGCACCAUACUGAAUGACUUAGGGGGGCAAGAUGCGGGGCUGUCCCAGAUAACAUACAAAGCACGCAUGGCAUUUAGAUAUAGUAGUUUUGAUGGAGAAGCAACUUUCUGAUACAAGAAAUAAAACACGGAACAUUCAGCUUUCAAAAAAGAAUCAAUGAUUGAAUGUGCUUAAAAGACAUUCUCACCCCACGGCUGAGCCUCACCUCAAACCUAAGCAAAUCAAACCUCUUCAAUGACCUCUAGAGAGUGACACAGGUGACAAGGUUAGUGGUUACACCAGGGUGCAAGUUUUUCCUGAUCCUUACAGCAGUGCCUUCUGAGGGCCCCGUUGUCUUAACCAGCUCAGGCUGCCACAACACAUUACCAUAGACUGGGUGACUUGAACAGCAGGCAUUUAUUAGUCACAGUUUUGACAGCUCUGGAAGCUGAGAAGUCCAAGAAGAUGUAAAACCAUCUUCAAAACGCAGAUUCAUUGUUGGGUGGGGACCUACUUCCUGAAUUGCAGACAGACAUCUCUUCACCAUAUCAGAGAGAAAGCGACAGGAGAGGGAGAGACAGAGAUCUCCAUCAUGCAGACUAUACCCUCGUGGCCUCAUGUGAAACUAAUUGACUGUAUCUCCAAAUACAUCACAAUCACAAUGGAGGCUAGGACUUCACCAUAGGAAUUUGAGAGGGGACACAUUUGAAUUUGGUAUCUGGAGUGUUCACCUGAUAACAAGUCCUCUACCACUUGACUAGGGCUUCAAGGGACCUUAUAGCAUCCUGACUUUUUCCUUCCCUGCAUUUACCACUGUUUGUGUGAUUGCAUUUUAUUUUUUGCUCCUGUUCCCAUGUAGGCAAACACCAUGUAUUUUUAUCUUGUUUUGUCGUUGCUACUCUAUCUUCAGACUUAGCACAAUGUUUGGCACAUAAUCUGUGUGUGUAUAUAUUUUUUGACUGGGUACAUAAAUACAUUUGAGCGCAUUGCAUGCAUUCCAGUGGGACAGAGUUAACAGGUCAAGUAAUCAGAUUAAUAAUGGAGAAGAAGGCAAAAGUGUAGUUAUCAAAUGAAGGUGGGUUGGUGCUAUAAAAGUAAGCUACAGAUGCUGAGACUCAGAAUCCAGGGUCAAAGUUACUUGUCUCUCCUGCCAAAAGUAAUAUUAGGUCCUGGGGCUUUUGGAUUCGGGCUGAGCAGAGGUGUCCAUAGGUGCUCUCAGCAGCAUGGAGAGGUCUUGGGGGUGUGUUGUCAGGAAGCAACAGAGGGCUGACAUAGUGUGUUUUUAAUGUACUUGGCUCAUUUUGUUGCUUGAAACCUAGAAGGCAAUUAUAGAUUUCUCAGAGUAAAAAGUGUACGCAAGAUUUUUUCCUCCUCUUCCCUACCUAAAUUAUUUGGUCCAGCCUGGAUUAUGAUAUCUGAAGUCAAGGAAACGCCAGCAAUCAUCUGAAAACAUAUCACCACCACACCCAUCCCUACUUCUCAAAACAACUUUCAUGUUCUUUUGGCCUGCUAUAUAUUUACACACACACACACACACACACACACACUCACUCACUGUGUGGAAACCUAUAGGUUUGUGCACAAAAAAGCACACUGAGAAAGCAAUAAUUAAGGUCCUAUCCUCUUCUUUGGGCAGGACUCAUAAAAGAGUGGUUUCUGUUUCUACAGUAGAAAGUUGUGGUUGAGGCCUGAUAGAGUUCUUCUACAACCCCCUGUCCAGAGGUGAAUCAUGCAUCAUUUAGAUCACCCUCACAUUCGGUGACUGAGGGAUCUCACGUUGUCCUCUGUACCCUUACUUUUGGCUAAUGUUCAGCCAUGUCGCUCAGAUUCUCUCAUUCACAGGAAGGCCGGUGCUGUCUUCCAAUCAAGUUCUUUCUCCAAUAAACCACUCUGCUUAGGGCUUACCCUCAUGAGAUAAAACUGGCAAGCCUAAAAAUAGAAACCACAAAUCCUGCCUGCCAAUCCUGCAUUCUAACCUCUAAUCCACUUGUAGCAAGGACAAAUAUUUUCAGGAAAAUAAAACGACACUGCAUGGAACACAGGGACACAAUUGCUCCUGUUGUCAGAUCUUCCACUCAAAAGCCUAGAAAUAAGGGGCUGGAUUCCACUCUCCCCUCCUUGGUCACCAUAUACCUAGUUUCAACCUUCCUCUAAUUUCUUAUACAACCUGAGUUACCAAAGCAAAUGAAGAAAAGAUGAAAUGAGGACACAGGCAGGAGGGGGAGAGACACAGAAUUUCAUCAUUGUUACAACUUACUUAAUGGUGGGAAUUUGUCUUUUGUGUUUCAGUACAAGGCAAAGAGCCUAGUAGAAGUUCAGGGUUAGAUUAAUAGGACUUUCACGUUUGUCAAAUGGGAAGUUGACUAAGUUAACUAAGUGACUGGAUUUGAGGACCUGAGGCAGCCUGAGUGGAAAGUAUCCUCAGAAAACCUAAGUGUGAGUCCCAUCUCACCAUUGCCACUCAUAUCUGGUUCAAAGGGACAAACUAUUUCAUGCCCUAAGGCUUAGAGCUCUUAUCUCUAAAACAGCAUUUCGAGUAAUAGCCUUUUUUGCUGCACAGAGCUGUUUUGAGGCUCCAUGAGAGAAAAUAUAUAGGAAAUGCUGUGUAAACUCUUAAUCUAUCUAUAAGUAUGAGGAAUUAUUAUCACUGCACACAAAUCCACUUAUUGUUUCUGAUUGGCUGUACACAUAAUUCAAAUUCUCCAGGAAAUAGCUCAGUCUUUAUUUCUAGCUGUGUGGUAUGCAGCUUCUAAACAGUUCUACUCAGACCUCGCCUCUUAACCUUUAGUCUUGAGGGUCUACAGAGACCUUUGGCUCUCAGUUAACUGUUACAUCCCAAGCCAGCUGCAGGGCAGAAAUUCCUGGUUUGAUUUGUGUUUUAACCAGCUCAGCCGUUUUGUGGCUUGGCCACUGAAGUGCUCUCACAAAGACACAGACCAGAGUGGACUCAAACAUGAACUCUGGUGAGAGAUGAGUUCUGAGAGGAAUCUAAUUCAACAAAGGAGAUAUGUAAACAGGACUCAGGAAGCUGUGGCCACAGUCUUCUCUUAGGAGGCUUUAACUUUCUCAGUUUUGAAAUACCGUGUUUGUUUCGCUGUGUGGUGAAUGUCAGUAUAUUAACAUUGUACUUUGAGAUUUCUCAGCUGGCAGUGUGAUAAAAUUUAAAAUAUUAUUCUCAUUUAGUAUCGUUUUAGAAUUUUCAUGGCAUUAAUGAAACUAAUGAGAAACAACUUAUGCUAUUGGGAAGGGAGAGUGAGUGUUUUCAGCUGAGUUUUGGCAUGGUUCAGUCUUUAAAUGCAUGACAAUGGAUUUAUUAUUGAAGAAAUAAAGAGAUUGGGCAGAAUCAGCAGUUGAUCAUUGGAAGACAGUCAUUUACUUUUUUUUUUUUUUACAGAUAAUAAGUAGUUUCUUGUGUAUCUUUCUAAUAUUUUUAUGCACAUUAUAAGAAAAUACAAAUAAAUCUUCAUAUUUUUCCCCUGGACUUCUCAAAAGGUAGACCAUCCAGUCUUUUAUGUCAGAAAGCUUAUAGCCCAUGUUUAAAUAAUAAUAAAAAGACACAACUAUUAAGAGGGUAGAUAUUUUAGGUCUAGACUUUUACUGGUUGUAAUGUUUGAAUGUGAGAGUCCUCGUGGUUACAGAUAGAAGCCUUGCUAUAGUAGUCGCUAGUUAGUUUUUCCUUGGUUCCCAGAGGCUGCUGAAUAAUACACAUUUGCUUGACCUGCAGUGAAAAUAGAAUAAGAGAAAGAAGAAAAUGUGAAGUGGAACAGUGUGGUUGGGAAAUUUCCACACCUUUAUCCUUGGGGAAAAAAAAAAAAAGAAAAAACCUCUCUUAUAAGUAAGGCUAAAGAGAAUAUUAAAUGCAUACAGUAUGAGUCAAAGAAAAUCAUAUUAACAUUUAUUCAUCAAAGUGGAUCGUUGGUCUCAUCUGCAUAUGUGAAAUUUAUGGGUGACAGCCUGAACUCUCUGUCAGGGCAUAGUCAUAUCAAACCGCAAGUGUCUGAAUCCUUAUUGCUUAAGUGCCUAGUUUCUAGGGUGUUUUGUUUCUGUUUUUCUUUUUAAUUCUUCUUGUUUUGGCCCUUGAGAAUCCAAAGAAUGAUUUCUUAACAAAAAAUAAGACUAGCCAAUAAAUGAAAAAUUAGGAAAUUCCUCCAUGAUUUGGACAAGAUUUGAAAUUUUUUUUGUCUUCUCUAAGAAGAUUUAAUUUAGGAGUAUGAACCAAGAAAAAUUACAACAUCAUGCUCUGACCAGCUUGCUUCAGAUAAUGGCUUGUGUGACCAAUGGAUGUCUUGGGGGAAGGGAAAUUCACAGAGAGCAAUGAGGAACUUCUCUGUCAUCUCAGGGUUUCACAAUAAACACAGGAAACAUUUGUAGCUGGCCCUCCGUUAGCCCAAAAGAUUAGCUAAUCCCUUAUUUCACCAUAAAAUGCAUUUUCAGCACAAGGUUCCUGAACUGCCAGCAAAGACUCAUCGUGGCAGGCUCACAGUCCUCCUGGAUGACAGUUGAAAGAUGCUUUACCCUGUUCAUGCAGACCCGGGCAGUUAGGAACCUGCCCAGGGGAUAUGUCUGGUGGACCAGAGUCUCUCCAUAGCCCACCAAUCAAGCUAGCUGAUUCCCAUGUCAAGCAUGCCCUGGGAAUUCUGCAACAGUGUUCUUAGAGUAAUAUCAGAUUCCUGAAGCCCAGAGAUGGAUUAACUGUCCAGGUGCUCCAGCCAAAUUCCGAUUCAAAUUAAUACAUCCUGUCCAUACAACCUUUCACCUCUGUAGAGUGGAACUGUGACCUCCUGUUGCUCAGAGAGGAAAGAAAAGAAGCUGUAUUUUACCAUAGUGGUUUCAGAAUACCUUUACACCUAGCCUGCAGCCUGCUUCACUAUUUGUGGGUUGUCCACUGGCUUUUUUUUUUUCUCUAGACAUAGUCAUUUAUUUCAAAAAUGCUUGGUGUAAUUUUUGAAAUUAUUUUAAUUUGUAUAAAGAAUUCAUCACAGAUUUAUUUUGGUAGAAGAGGCUUCAGAGAUUAUCUAAUCCAACGGUCCAAUGGCCUUUUAUUUUCACAGAUGAAGACAUGGGAAGCCCAGAGAGGUUAAGUGCCAUGCUCAAGGUCACUCAGCUAGUUAGCCCUAGUAAAUUUCCAGUGUGAGCACAAGGUGAAUUCCUAAACUGUUCCCAUGGGUUCCAUGUUUCCACAGCUCCUCAUUAAGCAAAGCCCUGAAUGAGAGAGCAGUUUUGUCACACAUGCUAUACACACCCAGCACUUUUUGCCUCUAAGACAUUGUACGAUACCUCUAAGAAUGCCACAGGCCUGAGAUCAGCUGGGAAGGUCAGCUGCCCACAGAGCUUCCUGUGCACUGAGUGACAUGACAGCUGGAGAGUAUCUAUCAUAUUUGUCUUCCAGAACCACCCCCCCCCACAACUAAGCUGGAAUUUAGCAUAGGCUCCAAAUCGCAAAUAGGACCAAAUUCACUUUCUUUACUCAUCUCGCACCACAAGGCUCUCUAUAUAAGAUAGAAAAAUAUAAAAUAAGCACUAGCAACAAUUACAGUAAAGGGAAAAUUAUUUUGAUAGUAACAUAAUAAAGACAGGUCAAAUUUGUACACAGAAGCAAAUAUUAAAAAUCUCCGUUUAGUGUCUGGAGAAUGGUGUUAACUUUGGCGCUGAGUUGCUAAGUGGCCUUAGCAAAGUGGGACAGAUGAUCUGUUAUAAGGUUCAGAAUAUUCAUAAGACUAAAAAAAAUCAAUUCAAGGGAAGCAUAGCUUUUACUCAUAAAGAGAAGUUCUUAAUACCAUCCUCUCAGAUAUAACAGUGAAUUUCAUACAGCUGUGUCUCAUUAUAUUCCUCAGUGCAAGCCAAAGGCACAACAACUCACAAAUUAGAAAACAUGUUUCCAGGAUAUUGAACGUGGGAGCAAAACAAUGGAUCUAAGUACACGCUGAGCUGUUUAGAAAUCAGUAGAUGAUACGUCCUUAAGGAAAUCUUCUGUAGUACUAUUCCUUAAAAUUGUUUUUUUGAAUAAUUAUUGGGCAGCAAAGAGAGAAGAAAUUAGUGAGUCCAGUGAAGAUAUUGGUUCCUGAGGCAAAGACCACUCAAGGUCCCUGUAUGGUCAGGCCAUUCAAGAUGUCUUACUCCCUGUACAUCCCCUGCUUGAGCAGGCCCUGCUUCACUCACAUGAAUCCUCUUAAUUGUAGGGCUUAAUCAGUAACUGCUUGCAUACUUGCCCCCUACCACCUGCCCCAGCCUCUGCUUUCCCUGGUAACCAAUAAGCCAACCUGACGUCCAUUGCCCCUCUAAUUGGUAGCCUCCUUCUCUCCCAAGUAGUGAAGACUGCUGCCAUGUCCUGCCUGCUGUAGGCUGUGCACCAUGAAUUGAUGUCCCAGGACUCUUUGCUUCAGACAUAUAAGAUUCCUUGUCCAAUAAACCAUUAAGUCUCUGUCACUGUAUCAGGGUUGUUUCUUUGGUCUCAAAGCUGGGCAACUACAAGGCUUGCAGGCCUGUGCCAUGCAGCCCAGUAGUCCCCAGUGUCCAUGUUCCCUGCUUCUCUUUGUACCUCAGCUAGAGUACAUUUCCCAGUCACAUUUAUCGUAGGUAUGAACAUGUGACUGAACUUGCCUGGUCCACUCUUGCUCCAUUCUCCCUCUGUUUUCCCAUAUACCCUUUAAACCCAGAGGACUCCAAGGAUCUUGAGGCAGAGCUACAGGAUGGAAGGAGCCUGGGCCCCUGAUUGACUGCGAAGAGCAGGGUCUAUAGUGGACUCUGAUAUGGGCAAUAAAUAAACUUUUAAUGUAUUUAUUAAGUUUGGGGGUUUCUUUAUCUCAGCAGCUAGUAUUAUAUUAAAUAAUAUAAUCUUCAAACCUUUCAAAGGUAUUGAGGAAGAUGCCUUCAGUAGCUCCAUGAUCCAGUCGCUCCUCGUUACAUUAAAAAAACAACUGCCCAAAAGACUUUUUUCAAGGCCAUGUCAUUUCAUUUCCAUUAGGCUUUAGGAAACUGACUAGCUAUGGGAAUCAGACUGCCUGAGCUUGAACCUUAACUUUUCCAUCUAUGUGCCUUGGGCAAGUUACCUGACUUCCCUAAGCCUCAGAGGCCCCACCUAUAACAUGGGGAUAGUAAUCAGACCUGCUCUCAGAGUGGUUGGACCGAGAAAAUGCUCAGCUGGGAUUUGGCAUCUAGCACACACCUGAUUACUCUUAGCUAGUAAUGUUGCUGUUCUUUGGAAAUGUGUACUCAUUUGUUGGUUUACAUGAGGAAGGCCCAGGGCAGGACAAGCCCAGUCUGUGCACAGCUGGCUUGGUUUCUAGCAGAAAAGUAUACAGGCUCUCCUCCUCCCCACCCCACCUUCUUCCCUGUCCCCUGCUUUGUUAAGCCCAUGCAACCUUCAGACAUUGAAGCAGGCUGUCACAAUCUGAGACCUGUUCAAUACAUCUGAAAUCUCCCAGAAACUUUCAUGUGAUCCUUCAGGAAAAAGAGUAUGAAAUAACAGUAAUAAUAAUCCCUGAUAAUGAGUACAGACUUUUGAGCAUAUAUAUAUAUAAUUCGAAAAGUCUGUGAUUCUGUCAGAGAAUGUUUUGAUGUUGAAAAUGUCUUACAGUAUUCCUUGAUAAGGCAUGGAAAGAUAAUUUCUGGAUCUUCUAGAAAGAUCAUUUUACAAAAAUAGGCAUUUUUGUAUUGAAACAGGAAAUAACUCAAUUUCUGCACUAGGUAAAUCUUUCUUGAGGUUUUUAGUAUCUUUUUCUUCCUUGCCCCUGACUGGAAACAUAAACAUACCUAGAGUCUUGGCUAAUAAUAACAUCAAGAUGUGUACAGACCUGGCCUUCCUCAACAGCCUGCUGAGUUAUUUGUGUUGGAAAAGAUUUUUAUCAUAAGUACAUUUCUUCUCUUGCUGUCACAUGAUGCACCAUUGAAUUUCCCAUCACACAAACGUUCUAAUCUCAUUUACAGUCACAGAGGUUGAAAAUAGAUAAUUAAUCAGCAUUCAAGUACCUCACAAUCUGUAAAGUAGACCAGAUAUGGCUGGACUGGCAGCAAUGUGGAGCGUUGCAGGGGCUCUGGAAUGGGGGCUAGUCAGCUGUCAAUGAGUCCUAUGACUUUCCACAGCUCCUGGAUUCCUCUGUCAUUCAAAGAAAUUGGGUUUGUUUCUCUCAGUAUCUCUCCAUUCCUCAUGCAGUAGGAUGAGCACCAUGGUUAUAAAUAUUUCAGCUGAAUUUACAAUAUUGUCUUCAUUCAUGAAGCAAGACAGACCAGGGUCACAUGUGGCUUUUUCUAAACCUAGGAUACAUAUACUGGGAGGGCUGCCAGUUCCCUUGUUCUUAAUCCCCUUCAGUUCUACCAAAUGCUUCUAGAGCAACGAGUUAUACAGGAGUUGACCUGGGCUACUUUACUCCUGUUUCUUCCUCCCUUCCUUCUUCUCCUUUCCUCCCCUUUGCUCUCUCUUUUCAUUCAUUCAUUUUUACAUUUAAUUCCCAUAGCACUAAAUGAAACUUCUCUUCUGAGAAUGUUAGGCAAGUAUUGAACUGAUCAAGUGACUAAAUAUAGCUUUAAGACCUGACUUUGAGCUCCUCACCAGUUCCUUAAAUGAAUUUAGAAUCUAGGUAUUAAGUUCAUCUGACUGGUGGACAAUUGACUCAUUAAUAGUUAGUCUUUGUCAUAGGAUUCCCCUUCAUUCACCACUUCUGUUUGGUGAGUGUAAUUGGAAACAAAGGGGCACCUGAGGAUGAAUUUAGAGAACUAGAGGCAUCUUUACAUUUGCAAGAUGCUGACAAACAGAAAAAUGCAAAUUGAAGACAAAUGAGGUGAUUUAGAAAGUUCCAGUUCUUUGACUCAAAGAAGAUGAGGCUUUACCAAGCAAAGUGCAAGGGUGGAGCUGUGUUUCCUGUUCAAGAACUGGCUGAGUCGUGUCACCUACGUGCCAUCUGAAAGACUGUUUCAUUGCAGCAGGAGCCCUGUGAAGCAGGCAAGACCCAGCCUGACCAAACAGGGAAAGUAUGAAGUCAUCUUUCUCAUUGCUCUCCUCUUUAAGUCCAAGAGCAAAGUACUUCUAAAAGGCAGGCUUUGUGGUUCGCAUGGAAUGUAAAUAGCUCAAAUGGCCCCACUUCCAAGAAGCCUUCUUUAACCCUAAGGCUGAAUGAAGAAUGCAAACUUGACCUUGACUUUAAGGUCAAAGCAUUUUCAGACUGUGCGGUCAGCAGAGGGUAGAAAAAAAAAAAAUCAAUGUGAAGCAUAUUAGAGAAGAAUAAGGGUAAGAGUAAUGCAAAGAUGCUGGGAAGCCAUUCAGGAAUUGGAAACAACUGAGACAGAAAAAUCAGUUGGAAGUGAUUUCCCCUCUGUGGUGUCUUCCAGUCCUGGAGAGAACACUGGGAGAUGACUGGAUGACAUGGCUCCCUGUCUGGCCUGUGUCUAUUGAUUUGGUGAACUGGCUUCUACAGGAACAUAGAGAAGAUGUGGCAGAGGUCAGAUGGCUCUGAAAAUGGAGGGGGGAAAAGCUGCUAUGGUUUUCUUUGUCCAGGCCACUGUCAUAAGGAAGCCUGGAAGAGUGAAGAAAGGUCUGAUUGAUCACAAGGUCCUAUCAAAUGUCAAAGCUGGCCCUGGCUGACCUCCCAUCUAUUCAGAGCUGCUUUGAUUUAAUCUCCAAACUGGCUGCUUCUCCAGGCUGGAAGAAGAUUGAAAUUUCCAACAAGGCAAAGGUGAUGAAAAUGUCUUCAUGGAAUCUUUGGGUACUAAGGAAAAGAGAAAAUGGAGGAGGGCAAUUACCAAAACAAGAAAUCAUCUAAUAAAACAUGAUCCACAGAACAGGAAGCCUGAUUUCUCUUGUCAAGUCACUAAACAGGCAAGAGCCUUCUCAGAUAUGUCCUGAACACCUUCUCUUUGCCUGACAAGUUCAAGAAAUUAAGUCAAAUAAAUAUUUGAUGGAAAUCUACCUGGCUCCAAAGACUGGGCUUCUAACAAUCCUCUCCACAACGUUUGAAUACAAAAAAAGUAUCCUGCUAAAGGACAGAGCCCCUCCAUCUCUUCCCGCCAAGCUCUCUGCGUGCCUGGUGAGAGGUAUAGCACUUUUGCUUUCUUUUCAAUUUGCUCUUUAAAUGAGUGACAAUAUCACCUAGUGAUUAAGGACCUGCCUGGAGCUGGGCUGAUGCUUGGAGUUGGGCUGAACCUGAGCCUGAAUUCGAGCUCUUCUUCUUCUUGCUGACUUUGACCCUAGGUGAGUUAAUUUUUCUAAGCUUCAGUUUCUUGGUCUAUAAAAAGGAGGAUGAUAAUUCUUUUCUCACUCAGUAUUGUUUUAAAGAUUAGUAAGAUAAUAUAUACAACGCAUUUAGCACAGUGCCUUGCACAUGAUAAACCCUGAAUAAAUGGUAGCCAGUUUUAAAAUACAACAUAAUUUUAAGCGUUGGUAUUUCUUAUGACUCCAAUCUCAUCCCUCCUUUUCCAUUGUCACUACAUUUGCUCUGUGUCUCCCAUAUCGAAUCUGGAACUUGCAUUCAAAGCCUUUAUCUCUCAGUGCCAAAAGAGUAGCCCUCAUGGAUGAACAAAGGUACUCAAAUUCAACAUGCCCAGAAUUAAACCCAGUAAAUGGGGAUUCAGUCACAACCCCAGUCUAUCCACCUAAGGGACAAAGUCCUGGCAGUCACCUAAGACUCCUCAUUAUCUUCAACCCCCAUCCCUGAUCAGUCACCCUAUUGGUUCUAACUUAUAAUAUUCAUUUAUUUUAUCACUACUGCCACAACCUGGGGUCAGACAUCAAACUUCUCUAUUCUGCCCCAUUGUUACCUCUUGACUACAAUCUCUGCCUCAAAUCUAAUCUGACCUCAUUCCUCUAUCUACUCUGCUAUGAAAGAGAUUACAGUUACACAUAUCUAAUUUUAUUACCUUUCCAUAUAAUGGUUCUCCAUUCUCCUGUGGGGUGCAUACAGUUUAGGGAACAUAAAAGUAUUCACUGGGAGCUAAGAAGAAAAUACCAUUUUUUUUUUAAAUUUUAUUUUAACAAUUAUUUUGAAUAUAUUUAAAAGUAUUUAUUUAUAAUGUAUGUGAUAUAGUAGUAAAGUAAAGUAAUACAUAUGAGUGAUGGUUAAUUUUAAGUGUGUCUCUGGCUAGGCCACAGUGCCCAGAUAUUUGAUCAAAAAUGUAUGAAUGUUACUCUGAAGAUAUUUUUUUAGAUCAAAUUAACAUCUAGGGGAGUACCCAUUGUGGCUCAGUGGAAAUGCCUCCAACUAGUAACCACGAGGGUACAGGUUGGAUCCCUGGCCUUGCUCAGUGGGGAGCUGUAGUGUAGGUCACAGA